rnacentral:snRNA from 1 species
GGGUGUAAGAGUGAUCUGGCUAUGUCACCUGUCACCCACUGACUUCCAGGCUUGGUCCAGCUGAUCUGACGGGCCAGCUAGGUGUCGUCCUCUCUUCCUCACCAGUCCCUGUGCACCGCCUCCUGGAGCUGUGUGCUUGACUCAGUUGAAACUCAGUUGUGCUGUUACUCCUCAGAACAGAGACAAAUUAAUCUCUGGUCAAGGGUGUGUGAGUAGCUGUGCUCCCUCAUUAGAACCUCCAAGAAAGCUAUUAAGAAAAGAGGUUUCACGGCAUUCGGGCUGUAGCACAGCGGGUUAAGCACAGGUGGUGUGAAGUGCAAGGACC